rnacentral:rRNA from 1 species
CCUACGGGAGGCAGCAGUAAGGAAUAUUGGACAAUGCUCGCAAGAGUGAUCCAGCCAUGCCGCGUGCAGGAAGAAUGCCCUAUGGGUAGUAAACUGCUUUUGAACUAGAGAAAACCCCAGUACGUGUACUGGGCUGAUAGUAUAGUUAGAAUAAGCAUCGGCUAACUUCGUGCCAGCAGCCGCGGUAAGACGAAGGAUGCAAGCGUUAUCCGGAUUCAUUGGGUUUAAAAGGGAGCGUAGGUGGACUUAUAAGUCAGUGGUGAAAUCUCCGAGCUUAACUCGGAAAUUGCCAUUGAUACUGUAGGUCUUGAGUACAGUUGCUGUGGGCGGAAUAUGACAUGUAGUGGUGAAAUACAUAGAGAUGUCAUAGAACACCGAUUGCGAAGGCAGCUCACAAAGCUGUAACUGACACUGAGGCUCGAAAGUGCGGGGAUCAAACAGGAUUAGAUACCCUGGUAGUCCGCACCGUAACGAUNAUAUCNNNGNGGCGACUUAGUG